rfam:Brachypodium distachyon strain Bd21 chromosome 1, whole genome shotgun sequence.
AGCCUGUGAUGUUAGCUAAAUAUUUGCUACUCUUGAUGGGUUUCGCCCACUUGAUGAUCAAACCACCAAGAUCUCUGAGGCU